GUAGUUGGUUUUUUCAAAUCAUUCGAAGUCGUAGCUCUACGAAGCAUGGAACGAAAUGUUGCCUUUGCUGUUCGACAAGAAAUAUGUGGUGUGAUUUUCUUCGACACCCUUAGAAGUCUGCGUCGAUUUUUGAUUGAACUGGCGAAGAAAUUUACUAUUUAAAAUUUUCUUGAAACCACUCAUGGAUUCCCGUACAAACCGUAAGGCUACUUCGCUCACGCUGACCUGGAUAAGGUUGACUCACUUAAAGCUCUUAACCCAGCUCGAUGAGGAUGCUAUGAAAUCAAAUUCCCAUGCUGAGAAAUCCUUGUGACACAUAUUUGUCCUUCCUAUGUUCAAUUUAAUGGAAUUAUACUCUGGUAAACAGGUCUGUUUGUAUGCCAGAAGCCAUGGUUACAGGAUUUGGCAAAACACCUUGUAAAGCAACUGGUAUCCUUGUGGUUCUAAAAUUUUUCUUUCACAAGAUGUUUGGGAUGCUGUGAUGGAGGGAUGAAGGCAUCAGAUGCAUUCCUUACAAGGCAGUUACCUUUGUUUAAGGUCUUCGAUGUAGUUGAUUUGGGAGACGGGGUUUGUCGUGUGUUGAGGUUUUUGCUGCACAAUUUGGAAAAAAAAAACCUACCAGGCAUCCCGUGGCGACUAUUUAUUGUUUGCUGCAAUACAAUUUCCCGAGCUUGA